rnacentral:rRNA from 1 species
UGGGGAAUAUUGCACAAUGGGGGAAACCCUGAUGCAGCGACGCCGCGUGAGCGAUGAAGUAUUUCGGUAUGUAAAGCUCUAUCAGCAGGGAAGAAAAUGACGGUACCUGACUAAGAAGCCCCGGCUAACUACGUGCCAGCAGCCGCGGUAAUACGUAGGGGGCAAGCGUUAUCCGGAUUUACUGGGUGUAAAGGGAGCGUAGACGGCGGUGCAAGCCAGAUGUGAAAGCCCGGGGCUCAACCCCGGGACUGCAUUUGGAACUGUGCCACUAGAGUGUCGGAGAGGCAGGCGGAAUUCCUAGUGUGGCGGUGAAAUGCGUAGAUAUUAGGAGGAACACCAGUGGCGAAGGCGGCUUACUGGACUGUAACUGACGUUGAGGCUCGAAAGCGUGGGGAGCAAACAGG